rnacentral:rRNA from 1 species
GACGAACGCUGGCGGCGUGCCUAAUACAUGCAAGUCGAGCGAGCGGAACUAACAGAUUUACUUCGGUAAUGACGUUAGGAAAGCGAGCGGCGGAUGGGUGAGUAACACGUGGGGAACCUGCCCCAUAGUCUGGGAUACCACUUGGAAACAGGUGCUAAUACCGGAUAAGAAAGCAGAUCGCAUGAUCAGCUUUUAAAAGGCGGCGUAAGCUGUCGCUAUGGGAUGGCCCCGCGGUGCAUUAGCUAGUUGGUAAGGUAAAGGCUUACCAAGGCGAUGAUGCAUAGCCGAGUUGAGAGACUGAUCGGCCACAUUGGGACUGAGACACGGCCCAAACUCCUACGGGAGGCAGCAGUAGGGAAUCUUCCACAAUGGACGCAAGUCUGAUGGAGCAACGCCGCGUGAGUGAAGAAGGUUUUCGGAUCGUAAAGCUCUGUUGUUGGUGAAGAAGGAUAGAGGUAGUAACUGGCCUUUAUUUGACGGUAAUCAACCAGAAAGUCACGGCUAACUACGUGCCAGCAGCCGCGGUAAUACGUAGGUGGCAAGCGUUGUCCGGAUUUAUUGGGCGUAAAGCGAGCGCAGGCGGAAGAAUAAGUCUGAUGUGAAAGCCCUCGGCUUAACCGAGGAACUGCAUCGGAAACUGUUUUCUUGAGUGCAGAAGAGAGAGUGGAACUCCAUGUGUAGCGGUGGAAUGCGUAGAUAUAUGAAGACACCAGUGGCGAA